AGAAAAUAGAUGGUUUUCCAUUUGUCUUUGCUUUUUGGUGUUUUAUCUUUGCUACACUAUAAUAUGUCAGAAUGUUCUCAACUGGAAAAAAGUUAUAAACAAACAGCAAAAAACAAGCAAAAAAAGCAUUAGGAUAACUGAAAAUUCAAACAUGAGCAUCCUGGCUGGAAACAACGUCACCCAAAUUGUGUGGUUGCACUACGGCCAACAACAGGCUUUCCAUGAAGUCCUGCAAUUUCAGCAAAUGUUGCCUCCAGCAGUUUUGGUGGUGAUGUGGCAUACUUUAUGUUCCUUUGAGGCCUGUAUGUUUGUCCAUUUGCUGUCUCAGGCAAAACAACAUUGACUUAUUUGAAUAUGCUAAGCCCUUUGGGAUGAUAUUUGUCUGUCUUUUCUGCAAAACAGCUCUUUUUACUCAGUCCUUCAUGUUGGCAAAUUUAACAGAUGAUAAGCCCUUUU
rnacentral:lncRNA from 1 species